rnacentral:rRNA from 1 species
CCUACGGGUGGCAGCAGUCGAGAAUCAUUCACAAUGGGGGAAACCCUGAUGGUGCGACGCCGCGUGGGGGAAUGCAGGUCUUCGGAUUGUAAACCCCUGUCAUGUGGGAGCAAACUAAAAAGAUAGUAUCACAAGAGGAAGAGACGGCUAACUCUGUGCCAGCAGCCGCGGUAAUACAGAGGUGUCAAGAGUUGUUAGGAAUCACUGGGCGGAAAGGGUGCGGAGGCUGUUUCGUAAGUCGUGUGUGAAAAGCCCGGGCUCAACCCGCGGACGGCACCUAAUACUGCGGGACUAGAGUAAUGGAGUGGGAACCGGAAUGCACGGUGUAGCGGUGAAAUGCGUAGAUAU